GAUGAACGCUGGCGGCGUGCCUAAUACAUGCAAGUCGAGCGAACAGACGAGGAGCUUGCUCCUCUGACGUUAGCGGCGGACGGGUGAGUAACACGUGGAUAACCUACCUAUAAGACUGGGAUAACUUCGGGAAACCGGAGCUAAUACCGGAUAAUAUAUUGAACCGCAUGGUUCAAUAGUGAAAGACGGUUUUGCUGUCACUUAUAGAUGGAUCCGCGCCGCAUUAGCUAGUUGGUAAGGUAACGGCUUACCAAGGCAACGAUGCGUAGCCGACCUGAGAGGGUGAUCGGCCACACUGGAACUGAGACACGGUCCAGACUCCUACGGGAGGCAGCAGUAGGGAAUCUUCCGCAAUGGGCGAAAGCCUGACGGGGCAACGCCGCGUGAGUGAUGAAGGUCUUCGGAUCGUAAAACUCUGUUAUUAGGGAAGAACAAAUGUGUAAGUAACUAUGCACGUCUUGACGGUACCUAAUCAGACCGCGACGGCUACCUACGUG
rnacentral:rRNA from 1 species